AGGGUUAAUUUUGACUAAAAUGCAUGAUAUUCUGAUUCUGUUUGUUAUAUGCCAUGACAUGUAUAUCUGUUGCAUGGGGUUGGGUUUUGUUAUGGAGGAAGAACCCAUUCUGAUGGCUGUGCCACAUAUUCUAAUAUAAGCAGCUUUGCUGCGGAUUAUAGUUAGUGCCACAACCGGUGCUAACACUGUAAGUGUAGGGAUGGCGUGGGUGAUUUAUUCCCACCAAGAAGUGUAGGGAUGGACGGAGGCAAGUGCAGGGUUGGAUGGGGUUAUCAUGCAUUAAUCAUAUGAGGUUAUUUUGUUAUGGGCCAACUGUGCUGAUAUGGGAAAGGCCCAAUAUAUCUCGACUUGUAUAGGGCUACGGCCCAGAUUGAUACUGAUAUGGGCUAGGCCCAGUAUACUCUGUUACUGUAAGGGGCUAUGGCCCAG
rnacentral:lncRNA from 1 species